rnacentral:rRNA from 1 species
CCUACGGGAGGCAGCAGUGAGGAAUAUUGGUCAAUGGGCGCGAGCCUGAACCAGCCAAGUAGCGUGAAGGAUGAAUGCCCUACGGGUGGUAAACUUCUUUUAUAAAGGAAUAAAGUGAGGCACGUGUGCCUUUUUGUAUGGACGUUAUGAAUAAGGAUCGGAUAACUCCGUGCCAGCAGACGCGGUAAGACGGAGGAGCCGAGCGUUCUCCGGAUUGAUUGGGUUUACAGGGAGCGUAGAGGGGUUGUUACGUCAGUUGUGAAAGUUUCCGGCUCAACCGUAAAAGGGCAAUUGAUACUGGCAGCCUUGAGUACAGUUGCGGUAGGCGGCAUUCCUUGUGUAGCGG